rnacentral:miRNA from 1 species
CCACAUCAAUUUUAGCAGACUCUGAGCAGCCCUGCUUAGUGCAAGACUCCUGCCUGGGAUAUGUGCGCGUCUCGAGGGCAGAGUGAAGUCCUUGGGGGAACUCAG